AUUUGGUUAGACACAAUUCGAUUCCAUAUACCUAUAGGUCUUUAUUAAGAUUGAUUACCGGAACGCAAGGAGAGUUUUCGAAAUUUUCUUUUGUAUUUUCUCGCUUCUGACGUCACAAUCUAAGAUGCAAUGAGUAGAGAUACAGUCGCUAAUGCCGGCUGUAUUUAAACUUUGAAGAUUCAUAAUUAAAAAAGUUCUUAUCGAAAGAGGAUUUAUAAUAACCAAUGUUUUAAAAACAUCUCGA